UAGGCAAUGGCAGAGCAAAAUCAUGAGAAGCGGAGCAUCACAUUGAAAGCAGGAAGUUCCAGCGUGUUUAUGUGUGAAACUGCAGAGACUCACAGUAACACAGAGCUACAGCUCAGAGCACGGAGAACAUUAAUACACAAUUCAUAUGACCGAGUAAACAUGGAAAAACACCUGUUUCUGAUUUUAUUUCUGAUUUCAGGUGUGAUGACUGCAGACAAGAUUGGGCCAAAUGAAAAAACUGUUAUAAAGAAGGAAGGCGAGACUGUGACCCUCAGCUGCUCAUAUGAAACAGACAGCAAUAAUGUUAGACUUUACUGGUACAGACAGUAUCUUAAUGGAGAGCCUCAGUAUUUAAUAUGGAAAAAUGCUCGGUCAUUGAGUGGUACUGGGAACCCCUCUGAUCCUCGCUUUCAGUCGACCACAUCACGUACAACCACUGAACUCAAGAUUAAUGGAGUAACUCUGUCAGAUUCAGCUCUCUAUUAUUGUGCUCUAAGAGUUGGAGCCCAGUGA